rnacentral:lncRNA from 1 species
GCAGAAUAUGCCAUGCUUGCAUCUAUCUAGCAAGUUGGAACAGUGAUAGCAAUUUUAAUUAAUCACUGCAAGGUUCUAUUUUGCAUGAAGAAGGCUCAGCCUCUUUGACCCAUUAAUUAAAUUGUGGAAUUUACAGUUUCUUGAAAAUGUUGAAGAAGCAAAGGAUUAGACAGAUCUGAGCUUUAUUUGAAAUGGAAAUUGAGACACACUGGACUGCAGAUAGCGAAGAGAGGAGUGACAUGUUAAAAAGGGCUUCAAGUUCAACAGCCAUCUACUAAGCCAAAGCCAACUAGAGGCAGGAAUUUUCCGUGACAGAAAUAAUACAGCAGCAGGAGUCAAUGGGUUAGAUCUUCGGGGCUAAAUCAGCCAAGUGCCUUUAAACCCUGCAGAAACUCCGACUUCCACAGCGAGAAUUUCGUUAUCACUUUUUCUUUUGUUAUGAAGAGCAUUAAGAGCUGCAGAAUGGGUACUGUAAAGUUUUUACUAACCAGUUUUUGAAAUGAGAUGCUUCUAGCUCAGGAGAGCAUUGAAGGCAUAUUUAAAUCCUCCUGAAAACUCUAAGCCAGUGCUUAAGUGCUUUUGGAAAUCAUCACUGGGGUGAGUCUGAUUUUCAUGCAUCCUUUCUGAAAUCCCUCUCUUCCUUAUUCUUGCAAAUGAGCUGUCCUGCAGGAAAGUUGGUGGAAUGAUAAUUUUCAAGCCAAAGUUAGAGAGAAUUUGUUCGAAACAAGAAUUUGGAGUUCAGAAUUUCUGCCACAGACCUGAUGCAACGAGUGGUAUUCAUCCAACAGGGAGACUGUGCUAUGAAGAAUGUGUCUAGCUGAAUUUUACUCGCAGCAAAGUGCUCUUGGAUAGGUUCCAAGACAAUAAUUAUUGGAUACCGGGGAGCUGCAAAUAAGUGCUAAGGGAUUAGGAAGCACAGCACUCGCACAGAUAACAUCCCCCCUUUUGGCUGCUCAGAAUCCCAUCUCUGCUCUGGCUACCAUGACAAAAUCUCCAUCUUCUCUUUCCAGCUACUAACUGAUGCUGAGCGAGAUGAAAGUGUUGGGUGCUGGGAGACAUUUUGUAGUAUUUGCCAAGUGCUCAUGCACAAACCCCGAAACUGGGCAGAGGCUUUGGGAGGUCCCAGCCAUGUCUCCUUGGAAAAAUGUUUUCCCAUGAGGCCCAUGGCUGCAACUCAAACUCAGCUGCCCCAUGGCAUUGCUCCACACAAAAGAAAGGGUCCAGCCACACAGCUUGUAAUGCCAAAGAUGGAUACCAACACAGUGGGUAUGUUUACAAGUUCUUCGUUAUCAACGUAUUUAUUACUAUUUGUGGACUGGGAGGCAUUUAUGUGCAUGGAAGUAUUCAACCAUCCUUGUCAUUUUAGUUGGAAAGUGUGACAGAGUAAAUGGUGAAAUAAGCAUAGAGAGAUGAAAGCAAGGUGGUAUGCUGUGCUGGGCUGCUGGACCAGUAUUAAUGUCUGGCCAGAUGUCAGUCUAGAAGGCACCAAAGCAGAGAUUUACAUUUUGUUUGUGUGGGGAAAAAAACAUUGAAGUCAGUACUGAAAAAUACUGCUGCACAUGGACUUGCUUUUCUGACCCACUUCAUUUGAUAGAAACCAGACCCCUAAAGCAAAUCUCCCUAUUUUCCUCUUUUCCCAAGGCAAGUGGUAGACCCAGGAGAGAAAUCAGGAUGAAUGUUUCCUUGUAUUCACUGAGAACUUCAUUUAUGACAGAUUACUUGCUCUUCAUUUUUUUCAUUUAAAAAUUACUCCUGUGCUAUUGUUGCCUACGCAGGAACACAUCGUUUCUUAACUGCUUUGAAGAAAGUGCUGUAAUGUCAGUGCAUCAGCAGAGGAGGAAGUGCUACUUGUGGGUAAAAUUCAGCUUACGAUGGAAGAGUCACAGUGCUAAUGAUGGAACCAGAAAAUAAUCUGAAGCUUUUUGCCAGGUGUGUUUGGUUCAAAAACAAAAUCCCCAUCAAAUCCUAAGGGAGUCGAGCAACACUUCCUCCCCUAGAUUUUAAUAUAAACCUUGGCAGAGUUUAAGUCUGGAUGGCUAAAGCAACUACAGGAAAAUUCUAAGUCAGUAGGAGAUAGAGAGUAAACAACAACAAACUGACGUCAGUGCUGAGAGAGCGGAUAUCUGAUACAGCUGCUGCUCUUUGAAGAACUACUUAAAAACGUGUUGACUACUUUCUUUUGGAAAAUAUUUCAAUGAGAAUAUAUAAAAAACCUUUUUUUUCCUCUUUCACUUCCUUCCUUCUUUCUUCUGCCACAGUGUAACCUACUGUAGAAGAAUGAAAAAGCACAGAUGAAUCUCAUGUCAACCAAAUACUGCCAUGAGUGAUUGUGCUUCUCUCUGUUCCUGUUUCAGACAUACUGAUGUGAUGAAUGAAUUAACCAAGGAGCAUAAUACCUCAUUGCCAACUGAGAGCAAAUCCUUGAAGUUCAGUGCUAUUCCACUUAAAAUAUUUCAGUUGGAUCUCAAACCAAGAUGUGCAGAAGAAUUGUUACCACUGAAGAAGCUGGAUUUUUUGUCAAGAAGGAGACUCGUGAUUCCUUUGCUUCAGGGAAAUUUAAAUGAAGAAACGUUCAAUUUGGAGGUUUGCCUAUUCUACUUGGAAAAUGUUAAAAAAUGGGUUGAAGAAAACAAGAAGAGCCAGAAAAGACUGCAAAGGAAAAUUGCCAUAUCUUUAGUCAAGUUUAUAAAUCUUUCCCUGGGACUUUUUGACAAAUGACUGCCCACCAACUUUGUGAGAUUUCUCCUGGACA